GAGGCUGUAGUUCAAUGGUUAGAAUACUACCCUGUCAAGGUAGGGGUUACGGGUUCAAGUCCCGCCAGUCUCG
rnacentral:tRNA from 1 species